rnacentral:rRNA from 1 species
GAUUAACGCUAGCGGCAGGCAUAAUACAUGCAAGUUGAACGGCAGCACAGGUAGCAAUACUGGGUGGCGAGUGGCGCACGGGUGCGUAACACGUAUGCAACCUACCCUAUACAGGCGAAUAACCUUUAGAAAUGAGGGCUAAUACGCCGUAGUAUUACAGAUGGGCAUCUAUUGGUAAUUAAAGAUUUAUCGGUAUAGGAUGGGCAUGCGUCCCAUUAGUUAGUUGGUAAGGUAACGGCUUACCAAGACGAUGAUGGGUAGGGGAUCUGAGAGGACUUACCCCCACACUGGUACUGAGACACGGACCAGACUCCUACGGGAGGCAGCAGUAAGGAAUAUUGGGCAAUGGCCGCGAGGCUGACCCAGCCAUGCCGCGUGCAGGAAGACGGCCUUAUGGGUUGUAAACUGCUUUUAUACGGGAAUAAUAGAGUGUACGCGUACAUUUAUGCAAGUAUCGUAUGAAUAAGCAUCGGCUAACUCCGUG